GAUGAACGCUAGCUACAGGCUUAACACAUGCAAGUCGAGGGGCAUCAGGAAGAAAGCUUGCUUUCUUUGCUGGCGACCGGCGCACGGGUGAGUAACACGUAUCCAACCUGCCCUUUACUCGGGGAUAGCCUUUCGNAAGNANGNUUAAUACCCGAUGGCAUAAUGAUUCCGCAUGGUUUCAUUAUUAAAGGAUUCCGGUAAAGGAUGGGGAUGCGUUCCAUUAGGUUGUUGGUGAGGUAACGGCUCACCAAGCCUUCGAUGGAUAGGGGUUCUGAGAGGAAGGUCCCCCACAUUGGAACUGAGACACGGUCCAAACUCCUACGGGAGGCAGCAGUGAGGAAUAUUGGUCAAUGGGCGCUAGCCUGAACCAGCCAAGUAGCGUGAAGGAUGAAGGCUCUAUGGGUCGUAAACUUCUUUUAUAUAAGAAUAAAGUGCAGUAUGUAUACUGUUUUGUAUGUAUUAUAUGAAUAAGGAUCGGCUAACUCCGUGCCAGCAGCCGCGGUAAUACGGAGGAUCCGAGCGUUAUCCGGAUUUAUUGGGUUUAAAGGGAGCGUAGGUGGACUGGUAAGUCAGUUGUGAAAGUUUGCGGCUCAACCGUAAAAUUGCAGUUGAUACUGUCAGUCUUGAGUACAGUAGAGGUGGGCGGAAUUCGUGGUGUAGCGGUGAAAUGCUUAGAUAUCACGAAGAACUCCGAUUGCGAAGGCAGCUCACUGGACUGCAACUGACACUGAUGCUCAAAGGUGUGGGUAUCAAACAGG
rnacentral:rRNA from 1 species